rnacentral:rRNA from 1 species
UGGCGCAUGCCUAACACAUGCAAGUCGAACGAGACCUUCGGGUCUAGUGGCGCACGGGUGCGUAACACGUGGGAAUUUGCCUCGGGGUAUGGAAUAACUCAGGGAAACUUGAGCUAAUACCAUAUAAUGUCUUCGGACCAAAGAUUUAUCGCCCUGAGAUAAGCCCGCGUAGGAUUAGCUAGUUGGUGGGGUAAAGGCUCACCAAGGCGACGAUCCUUAGCUGGUCUGAGAGGAUGAUCAGCCACACUGGGACUGAGUCACGGCCCAGACUCCUACGGGAGGCAGCAGUGGGGGAAUAUUGGACAAUGGGCGAAAGCCUGAUCCAGCAAUGCCGCGUGAGUGAUGAAGGCCUUCGGGUUGUAAAGCUCUUUUACUCGGGACGAUAAUGACGGUACCGAGAGAAUAAGCCCCGGCUAACUCCGUG